rnacentral:rRNA from 1 species
UACGUAGGGUGCGAGCGUUAAUCGGAAUUACUGGGCGUAAAGGGUGCGCAGGCGGUUUUGUAAGUCAGAUGUGAAAUCCCCGGGCUUAACCUGGGAAUUGCGUUUGAAACUACAAAACUAGAGUGUGGCAGAGGGAGGUGGAAUUCCAUGUGUAGCAGUGAAAUGCGUAGAGAUAUGGAAGAACAUCGAUGGCGAAGGCAGCCUCCUGGGUUAACACUGACGCUCAUGCACGAAAGCGUGGGGAGCAAACAGG